AGUGAGAUCUGUACACCUUGAGAGAGGGAAGAUCUUGAACUCCCUAGGUUUCUUUACUCUAUUCUGUUUAUGUAUCUAUUGCAAUAUUAUUCAGACCAUCAUAACCAUGUCUUUUAUGAAUAUGUCUUAGUAAUUUCACUGUUAGAUUUAGGUUUCUCAUAAGGUUGAUAUAUGUAUUGCUAGCUUAAAUUGUUGUUAGGGUGAUUUAAUUAGUUCUUCAUCUAGUUGAUCUAACUG
rnacentral:lncRNA from 1 species